ACAGGAUUAGAUACCCUGGUAGUCCACGCCGUAAACGAUGAUCAUUAGUCGGUGGAGAAUCACUGACGCAGCUAACGCAUUAAAUGAUCCGCCUGAGUAGUAUGCUCGCAAGAGUGAAACUUAAAGGAAUUGACGGGGACCCGCACAAGCGGUGGAGCAUGUGGUUUAAUUUGAAGAUACACGGAAAACCUUACCCACUCUUGACAUCCUUCGCAAAGCUAUAGAGAUAUAGUGGAGGUUAUCGGAGUGACAGAUGGUGCAUGGUUGUCGUCAGCUCGUGUCGUGAGAUGUUUGGUCAAGUCCUGCAACGAGCGCAACCCCUAUCUUUAGUUACUAACAUUAAGUUGAGGACUCUAGAGAUACUGCCUGGGUAACUGGGAGGAAGGUGGGGAUGACGUCAAAUCAUCAUGCCUCUUACGAGUGGGGCCACACACGUGCUACAAUGGUCGGUACAAAGAGAAGCAAUAUGGCGACAUGGAGCAAAUCUCAAAAAGCCGAUCUCAGUUCGGAUUGGAGUCUGCAAUUCGACUCCAUGAAGUCGGAAUCGCUAGUAAUCGCAGAUCAGCUAUGCUGCGGUGAAUACGUUCUCGGGUCUUGUACACACCGCCCGUCACACCAUGGGAGCUGGUAAUA
rnacentral:rRNA from 1 species